UACGGGGGGGGCAAGCGUUGUUCGGAAUUACUGGGCGUAAAGGGCGCGUAGGCGGCCGCCUAAGUCAGACGUGAAAUCCCUCGGCUCAACCGGGGAACUGCGUCUGAUACUGGGUGGCUUGAAUCCGGGAGAGGGAUGUGGAAUUCCAGGUGUAGCGGUGAAAUGCGUAGAUAAUCUGGAGGAACACCAGUGACGAAGGCGGCAUCCUGGACCGGUAUUGACGCUGAGGCGCGGAAAAGCUAGGGUAGCAAACGGGGAUUAAGAUAACCCUUGUAGU
rnacentral:rRNA from 1 species